CCUACGGGAGGCAGCAGUGAGGAAUAUUGGUCAAUGGGCUUACGCCUGAACCAGCCAAGUCGCGUGAGGGAAGACUGCCCUAUGGGUUGUAAACCUCUUUUGUCAGGGAGCAAUUGGCGCUACGUGUAGCGUUAUCGAGAGUACCUGAAGAAAAAGCAUCGGCUAACUCCGUGCCAGCAGCCGCGGUAAUACGGAGGAUGCGAGCGUUAUCCGGAUUUAUUGGGUUUAAAGGGUGCGUAGGCGGAAUGCCAAGUCAGCGGGAAAAUCGCGGGGCUCAACCUCGCUCCGCCGUUGAAACUGGCGUUCUUGAGUGGGCGAGAAGUAUGCGGAAUGCGUGGUGGAGCGGUGAAAUGCAGAGAUAUCACGCAGAACUCCGAUUGCGAAGGCAGCAUACCGGCGCCCAACUGACGCUGAAGCACGAAAGCGUGGGUAUCGAACAGGAUUAGAUACCCCUGUAGUC
rnacentral:rRNA from 1 species